rnacentral:rRNA from 1 species
UACAGAGGGGGGCAAGCGUUAUUCGGAAUUAUUGGGCGUAAAGAGCUCGUAGGCGGUUUGUCGCGUCUGCCGUGAAAGUCCGGGGCUCAACUCCGGAUCUGCGGUGGGUACGGGCAGACUAGAGUGAUGUAGGGGAGACUGGAAUUCCUGGUGUAGCGGUGAAAUGCGCAGAUAUCAGGAGGAACACCGAUGGCGAAGGCAGGUCUCUGGGCAUUAACUGACGCUGAGGAGCGAAAGCAUGGGGAGCGAACAGG